AAUAGGAGUAAGGGUGGUUUUUUUUUUUUGUUUUUUUGUUUGUUUGUUUGUUUUUUUGUUUUUUGUUUUUUGUGGGCCAUGAACACCCAGAGUGGCCCUUGGGCACAAUCCCUUUGUUUCCAGACCUCUAGAAGUCAAGUGGAUUCCCAGUUGAGUCGAGCAAGGGUUUUUUGUUUUGUUUUACAAAGAUAAAAACUUAAGUCUCAUUUAGUGAGACAAUUAACAAGCUCAGGUUUUUGAAAAGGAUAAAAUCUGAGGUCAGGACUUUGAGAUCAACCUGGCCAACAUGGCAAAACCCCAUCUCUACUAAAAGAUAUACAAAUUAGCUGGGCGUGGUGGCACACGCCUGUAAUCUAGCUGCUCGGGGAGGCUGAAGCACAAGAAUUGCUUGAACCCGGGAGACAGAUGUUGCCGUGAGCCGAAAUCACACCACUGUGCUCUAGCCUGGGUGACAGAGUGAGACUCUGUCUCAACAAGAAUAAAAGGAUAAAAUGGCAGAACAUUUUCUGUGCAGAUGCUUUAGUGAUGAAGCCUUUUCAAAGACACCUACUUGAUGCUGAUCUCUAGGAAAUUCUAGAAUACAUUAUUAAACAGAUGUCCUGAGCGCCUUGUACAAGGACCAAUCAUUCGGAUUCAUUAUAAAAGAAACUACAGGAUGUGUGGGAAGACCAGCGACCAAGGGACCCUGGGCCCCAAAUCAGUGGCUGAGUGAGCUGUAUGGCCUCUGGCCCAGCACUUCCCCACUGGGAGCCUUGCCUUCCUUGUUUAGAAGGACGUGUUUAGGAUGGUUUAGAAUGGUGACUAGGUGCUUUUCAAGAUACAUGCACAAAGGACAUUUCAUCUCUGUUCCUCCAUCCAAUGCUGGCUGUUCCUUACCCUGGGCACCACGGUGAGACAGCUAAGUCUCCUGUGUUCUCUCUGGCUGGUCUAGGUACCCAUCCUUGGCACCCCUAUACCUGAGCCUGCCCUCAUCUGACCCUCUCUUCUUCACCAGCCCCAUCGCAAGUAUACCCAGCUUUAUCCUCCACAUCAGGGGCUGAGGUGACAACAUGUCAGUAGGAGGAAUCCUUGCAGGUGAUCUGCUGGAAAAGGAGCACUUCCAGGGAUGCUUCCUCCUGCCACCCAGUGUGCUUCGGUGUCAGCGCCCGCCGCUGCAGAGGUUCUGCAUGCAGGGAACAAACUCCUCUCCCUGUCGGCCUCUGCCUAGCACGCUGUGGAUGGUUCAUCUGCCACACACACAAAGCAGUGCACUGGAAGGAAAGAUCUGGAACGCUGAGCCCAGGGCUUUGCCCCAUCCAGGGCCACUUGGAUACCAUGGAUUUGAGAUGGCAGGGCCACAGAACGCAAUCCACCUGGACCCUGGAGUCCCCAAGGAGCUGCCCUGGAGACCAGCUGGACCCUCAGCAGAAUUUCAGAAAGUUAGAAAUAAAAUUCUGUGUG